rnacentral:rRNA from 1 species
GACGAACGCUGGCGGCGUGCUUAACACAUGCAAGUCGAACGGAAAGGCCCUGCUUUUGUGGGGUGCUCGAGUGGCGAACGGGUGAGUAACACGUGAGUAACCUGCCCUUUACUUUGGGAUAACUUCAGGAAACUGGGGCUAAUACCUGCUAGGAGCUCCUGCUGCAUGGUGGGGUUUGGACAGUUUCGGCGGUUGGGGAUGGACUGGCGGCUUAUCAGCUUGUUGGUGGAGUAGUUGCUUACCAAGGCUUUGGCGGGUAGCCGGCCUGAGAGGGGGACCAGCGACAUGGGGACUGAGAGAGGGAGCAGACGCGUACGGGAGGCAGCAGGGGGGAAUAUUGCACAAUGGGGGGAAGCCUGAGGCAGAGGCGCCGCGUGCGGGAAGACGGCCUUCGGGUUGUAAACCGCUUUCGCCUGUGACGAAGCGUGAGUGACGGUAAUGGGUAAAGAAGCACCGGCUAACUACGUG